rnacentral:rRNA from 1 species
ACUGCAGUCGAGCGAACGGACGAGAAGCUUGCUUCUCUGAUGUUAGCGGCGGACGGGUGAGUAACACGUGGAUAACCUACCUAUAAGACUGGGAUAACUUCGGGAAACCGGAGCUAAUACCGGAUAAUAUUUUGAACCGCAUGGUUCAAAAGUGAAAGACGGUCUUGCUGUCACUUAUAGAUGGAUCCGCGCUGCAUUAGCUAGUUGGUAAGGUAACGGCUUACCAAGGCAACGAUGCAUAGCCGACCUGAGAGGGUGAUCGGCCACACUGGAACUGAGACACGGUCCAGACUCCUACGGGAGGCAGCAGUAGGGAAUCUUCCGCAAUGGGCGAAAGCCUGACGGAGCAACGCCGCGUGAGUGAUGAAGGUCUUCGGAUCGUAAAACUCUGUUAUUAGGGAAGAACAUAUGUGUAAGUAACUGUGCACAUCUUGACGGUACCUAAUCAGAAAGCCACGGCUAACUACGUGCCAG